rnacentral:rRNA from 1 species
AACGUAGGACGCAAGCGUUAUCCGGAGUUACUGGGCGUAAAGCGCGGGCAGGCGGUCUUGCCAGUCUGCUGUGAAAUCUCCUCGCUCAACGGGGAGCAGCCAGUGGAAACUACAAGACUGGAGUCUGACAGAGGUAGGCGGAAUUCCGGGUGGAGUGGUGAAAUGCGUAGAGAUCCGGAGGAACACCAGUGGCGAAAGCGGCCACCUGGACUGUACCUGACGCUGACACGCGAAAGCUAGGGGAGCGAACGGG